UAUGAAGUAAAAAGAAGUUUUUGCAAUCACCCAAAGAUGUAAAGUUGAGUCAACUGUAAAUCUCUUGCACGUUCCGAGGUUUGAACAAUCAACCCCGACUAGUUUUGGUUGGAUAUAUGUGCGUGUCUGAUAAAACUUGUAAAUGGUCCACGGUAUCUCGAGAAUUAUCCGAUAGAUUUUGACAUCUUGAUGAUAUUUGAUUAUAUUCAACUACGAAUGGUCGAAUAGCAAAUUAUGUUUAAGGCGUCUCAAAUGAUGGCAAAUCCAAAUUUUUCAUUUGUGAAAAAUGAUUUAUUUACGGAUUGGAUGCGAUCGAUUAUGACAUGUUUUCAACACCAUGUGGAUCGAUGUAUUUUUAUGUCAUGGAUGACACGGAUCAAAGUCGGACUUUUAAGGCAGAUUGAAAUAUUUGUAUAGCUUCGUGAUUGCCUUGCACUUCAAGUGUCCCAAACGACAAUUUUCAACUCUCGGUUCGUCACGUACUUAACGAGGUUUACGUUUACUGAAUUAUUGGAUUAUCAGAGACAAAGUACAUCAGUCCGUAACGUAGCUCUUAAAAUAAGAGCUGGCUUAAGUAUGAUAAAAAGUGAGAAACUGACUAACUGAUGUAGGCUAACCCCGCCGGAUUAACAAUUGUGGUUUUCAUUUAGUUUUAUCGUUUUUUCUUUCAGAUUCAGGUUUUUCAAAAAUCGUCAAAAGAACUAGGGCGUUUUUAAAAUAUGCUGCCUAUCAAAAUAUAGGGCCUUCCAAAGAUGGCUGGAUGAGCAGUGUGGUAUUCAGAGUAGGGAAAUUCUCCGUUUGAAAUCUUUGUCAAUUUUAGUACUCCACGUCACCCAAAUGCACCAUCACACAUUUCUCACAGAUGGCCGAAAAUUAUUCUGCCGAGAUCUUGUCUGUUUUAGAUUUUUCAGCAACAUAUACUGCUAAGUUUCCGUAUAGUAUAGAAAACGAAAACAGUGAUAGUAAAAAGUAAAAGCCCAACGUCUGCCUCAAUGAGACUGUUCGGCAAGAGAUGGUUCCAAACUUGAAUUUUCAAUACAUUUUCUUACAAAGCACACUGCACGACUGGAAUUCAUGGAGAGGUUUUUGCGAGGGUGUUGUACGCAGCGCCGAGGAACGUGCGUAAUCUUCUGUUUGCAUCAAACCACAUCGUCGAAAUCGAUGCGGAGGGGAUCGGGGCUGACGGCAAGCUCGCCGUCAGCUCGGAGGAAAACAGCCAGUCGCCGGUGAACGGAGACAGAGAACGCAACGGUAACAACAGCGACGGUUCCGCUAUGGGAAAACGCUGUCGGAAAACAGGAAGAGUUCGUGAACCCGGAAAAGUCACUAUGGGAACAAUAACGAUGACGCGGAUUGCGGAUCGAUCGGUGAAUAACGCGAGUGUUUAAUUGGCCAUGCGAAAUCGCGUUAUCGCUGAUUAAAGCAUCCGAAAAUUUUCGAGCGAUAUUCAAAGUACAAAAGUGGAUGAAAACGAUCCUGACGAAUUAUUAUUUUCAACAAUAAAAAUUCGAGUGCAACAAAAUGCAUGUGCGACUAACUGA